AAAUCGCUAAUAAUACUAAACGAUAUCUUACCUGAAAUCCCUAAUAAUACUAAACGACAUCUAUUUAGUUUGAUUUUAUAUCACUUUCAAUCGUGGGUUGUCAAGAUUAUAUAGAUGAAGCUUGAUGAUUUUUUUAUUCUGUCCUCCACUGAUCUUCCCCGAACAACAUAUUAAGAAGCUGUACAGAUGGUGAAGCCUGCGGAAGGAACAACCACACUCGCUUUUUUCUUCCAAGGUGUCAUGGUCGCUGCUGAUUUUUUGGGCUAGGAGAGGAGGCGAAUCAUCGAGAUGAAGGAGAAGAUUGAUGUCAAUAAGAAGCCAAUGACUAGUCUCUGGGUUUCUUCUUGUGUGAAUCAGAGGUGAUGAGGAGAAUUCUAAAUAUACAUUCAAGGAUAUAAAACGAAGGUUAUAUAAUGUCAUUCUACUUUACAACUUUGUCUUGCGUUUCAACCUGAUUUCCCACGAUUGCCCACGGUCAGAAGAGGAAGAUAAGUAGUGUGUCAAUGCCAUUAAAGAGAAAACAGGAACUCCAAUCAAGAAGCAGAGAAAGGAACCGAACCUGUGAGUUUGGAGGAAGAAGAGAGGUUAAGACAUGAACUGGAGGAGAUAGAAGCAAAGUAUUAGGAAAAUAUGAAAAAAAUUGAUAGCAAAGAAAAGAAAAGAAGAAACAAAGCUGACAAAGAGAGAGUCAUCUCAAAAAUAGGUAGAACAAUUUGAUUAAGCCCUGUUCGUUGCUCGAACGCAGCGUUAGAGUGCAGCUACAACAAAUAACAAACGUGAGAAAUAUUGAUGCAGUGUGUUGUUGUACGUUUGCCGCCGGUGAUGUCACUGGUAGUGUUUUCACCUUUUUCAUUGUCGCUGUAAAUUUCAUGGGCUCCUACCCAUGUAUUAUGUAUCGCUAGCAGCAGAUUUAUGCAUUCUCAAACACAUAAUCGUAAUCAGUUGCUGAUCUGUCACUUUAAAUUUUUUUAUA